rnacentral:rRNA from 1 species
GACGAACGCUGGCGGCGUGCUUAACACAUGCAAGUCGAACGCGCCUGUCCUCUGGGUUUCUGGGGGGUGGGUGAGUGGCGAACGGGUGAGUAACACGUGAGUAACCUGCCCCCUUCUUCGGGAUAACGGUCUGAAAGGGCUGCUAAUACCGGGUAUUCACUGGUCUCCGCAUGGGGUCUGGUGGAAAGGUUUUUUUCUGGUGGGGGAUGGGCUCGCGGCCUAUCAGCUUGUUGGUGGGGUGAUGGCCCACCAAGGCUUUGACGGGUAGCCGGCCUGAGAGGGUGACCGGUCACAUUGGGACUGAGAUACGGCCCAGACUCCGACGGGAGGCAGCAGUGGGGAAUAUUGCGCAAUGGGCGCAAGCCUGAUGCAGCGACGCCGCGUGAGGGAUGGAGGCCGUCGGGUUGUGAACCUCUUUCGCCCGUGGUCAAGCCGCGACGUGGGUCGUGGUGAGGGUAGUGGGUAAAGAAGCGCCGGCUAACUACGUG